UGAGCCAUGGGCCCACGAAUGCUACCAGGCUU
rnacentral:piRNA from 1 species